CUCGCGAAUGGCUCAUUAUAUAAGUUAUCGUUUAUUUGAUAGUGCCUUACUACUUGGAUAACCGUGGUAAUUCUAGAGCUAAUACAUGCUAAAAACCCCGACUUCGGAAGGGGUGUAUUUAUUAGAUACAAAACCAAUGCCCUUCGGGGCUCUUUGGUGAUUCAUGAUAACUAUACGAAUCGCACGGCCUUGCGCCGGCGAUGGUUCAUUCAAAUUUCUUCCCUAUCAACUUUCGAUGUUUGGGUCUUGGCCAAACAUGGUUGCAACGGGUAACGGAGGGUUAGGGCUCGACCCCGGAGAAGGAGCCUGAGAAACGGCUACUACAUCCAAGGAAGGCAGCAGGCGCGCAAAUUACCCAAUCCCGACUCGGGGAGGUAGUGACAAUAAAUACUGAUACAGGGCCCUUUCGGGCCUUGUAAUUGGAAUGAGUACAAUUUAAAUCCCUUAACGAGGAACAAUUGGAGGGCAAGUCUGGUGCCAGCAGCCGCGGUAAUUCCAGCUCCAAUAGCGUAUAUUAAAGUUGUUGUGGUUAAAAAGCUCGUAGUUGAACCUUGGGCCUGGCUGGCCGGUCCGCCUCACCGCGUGCACUGGUCCGGCCGGGCCUUUCCCUCUGUGGAACCCCAUACCCUUCACUGGGCGUGGCGGGGAAACAGGACAUUUACUUUGAAAAAAUUAGAGUGCUCCAGGCAGGCCUAUGCUCGAAUACAUUAGCAUGGAAUAAUAAAAUAGGACGCGCGGUUCUAUUUUGUUGGUUUAUAGGACCGCCGUAAUGAUUAAUAGGGACAGUCGGGGGCAUCAGUAUUCAAAUGUCAGAGGUGAAAUUCUUGGAUCAUUUGAAGACUAACUACUGCGAAAGCAUUUGCCAAGGAUGUUUUCAUUAAUCAGGAACGAAAGUUAGGGGAUCGAAGACGAUCAGAUACCGUCGUAGUCUUAACCAUAAACUAUGCCGACUAGGGAUCGGACGGUGUUAUUCAUGACCCGUUCGGCACCUUACGAGAAAUCAAAGUGCUUGGGCUCCAGGGGG
rnacentral:rRNA from 1 species